GAUGAACGCUGGCGGCGUGCCUAAUACAUGCAAGUCGAGCGAACAGACGAGGAGCUUGCUCCUCUGACGUUAGCGGCGGACGGGUGAGUAACACGUGGAUAACCUACCUAUAAGACUGGGAUAACUUCGGGAAACCGGAGCUAAUACCGGAUAAUAUAUUGAACCGCAUGGUUCAAUAGUGAAAGACGGUUUUGCUGUCACUUAUAGAUGGAUCCGCGCCGCAUUAGCUAGUUGGUAAGGUAACGGCUUACCAAGGCAACGAUGCGUAGCCGACCUGAGAGGGUGAUCGGCCACACUGGAACUGAGACACGGUCCAGACUCCUACGGGAGGCAGCCGUAGGGAAUCUUCCGCAAUGGGCGAAAGCCUGACGGAGCUACGCCGCGUGAGUGAUGAAGGUCUUCGGAUCGUAAAACUCUGUUAUUAGGGAAGAACAAAUGUGUAAGUAACUAUGCACGUCUUGACGGUACCUAAUCAGAAAGCCACGGCUAACUACGUG
rnacentral:rRNA from 1 species